GAGAUACAGUUAAAACUGGAAUGGCUUUACUUUCUUCUUGUGGAAACAACUAUUGCGUGCUUCCAAGGUUGGAGGACUGCAGACUGUCUAACAGCUACAUGGAAAUGUUGAAUCAGUAUAUAUGAGGCAUCCAGGAUGUGUAUAAAGUUGGUGGCUACAGGAGCAAGUGGAAUAGAUAAGGGUGGUGAUUCUUGUAUAUUGAGGGGUUCCUGUGUUUGAUCGUCUCUGUCCACUACUCAUAAUCAGGCUUCUUCCAUCAAGAGUAUUUGAUGAUCUUAACUUCUCCAUUAUGUACGGUCAUCUUCUCAAAAAAAAAGGCAUUGUGGAUGGUCUGUUUUUUAAUUUCUCUUUUGUUUAAGCCAUACAUGGUUGAUCUAUUCGACAACGAGUUUUGUUUAUCACUAAAAUCAAAUGCAGCAGUUUGAACCUUGCUGAGGGUUCAACAUGAUUUAAGAAAUAACAGAAAAAGUAAUUGCAAAAGUUCCACUGGUUGCAAAUAAAUGGUGUGUUUGAUUUCUGGUCACUCCACCACUGUAGAACUGUUAACUUUUUGCGCAUGCCAUUCGUCAUCGACACCACUGUCAACACCCAAAACCUCAUUCAGUAUAUGGUUACAGAAACAUCUAUACCAACUUUAACUUCUGCGAGAACAACUUCAGGUACAACAGACUCCAGCUUUGAGAACCGCUCAAGUAUUACUGUUAUUCUUGUUAACAGAGCAUUUAAUAAAUAUGACUUGAAGAUGUCAGAAAGCUUGCAGCCGAAUUAUGCGGUCGCCUUCAUCCUAAGGUUCUCUAUCCAAUGAUGUGAUCCCAGUUGGAUACUGCCACCUGUUCUCGGGAUAUAGUCAAGAUAAAAGAAUCUCUGUUUCAAGAUAAAAGAAUCUCUGUUUCAAUUUGUACUUCCCUUAUGUUAAGGGGCAGUACUCCGUCUCUGCAUCCUGUUAUGCUUGAGAUUAGGAAAAUAUUGGAAGUGGUUCUGACUUGGCCGUCUUUAUAGCAAUAACUGGCCGUCUUUGGAUGGCGAUGAAGUCUCUAAAGCACAACAUGGGUGCAUUGAUUGUUUAGCACUGAUGAUUUGUGCUGAGCUACAACUUCAGACUCGUCGAAGGAGUUCUCUAUGAGGAAAACUUAAACAGAUGAAAAGGAAAAGAGUUCUGAUGGUUGGUUCUCCUUUCUUUUAAGAUUGUGUGGGAUGGUUAAUGUUUUCUGUUUGUGAAAACUACAGGGAGACCCAUUCUCCCUGAUGUUUCUACUGUGAAACCCACGCUCCCAAAACUACAGGCGCGCACCCAAAUUCUGGAAGAAAAUUAUUCUCAAAU